rnacentral:rRNA from 1 species
AGUGAACGCUGGCGGUAGGCCUAACACAUGCAAGUCGAACGGCAGCACAGUAAGAGCUUGCUCUUACGGGUGGCGAGUGGCGGACGGGUGAGGAAUACAUCGGAAUCUACUUUUUCGUGGGGGAUAACGUAGGGAAACUUACGCUAAUACCGCAUACGACCUACGGGUGAAAGCAGGGGAUCUUCGGACCUUGCGCGAUUGAAUGAGCCGAUGUCGGAUUAGCUAGUUGGCGGGGUAAAGGCCCACCAAGGCGACGAUCCGUAGCUGGUCUGAGAGGAUGAUCAGCCACCCUGGAACUGAGAACAGGUCCAGAAUCCUACGGGAGGCCGCAGUGGGGAAUAUUGGACAAUGGGCGCAAGCCUGAUCCAGCCAUACCGCGUGGGUGAAGAAGGCCUUCGGGUUGUAAAGCCCUUUUGUUGGGAAAGAAAAGCAGCAGGUUAAUACCCCGCUGUUCUGACGGUACCCAAAGAAUAAGCACCGGCUAACUUCGUG